UCCCUAACUUGACGGCGCGGAGACUUCUGGGAAAUAGAGUCCUGGUGCUUGUCCCGCUCUCCGGGCGGGCUUUGGCAGGCGGAUUUCGGGCGUCCCCCUGCGCAGGUGCGCCUCACGGUUCGUGCGUGUUGGCGCACGCGCACCAUUGCCGCGCCGCCCUCGCUUCCAGUGCGUGCCCAGGUCCCUGCUGGUCGUUGUUCAGGUCCUGGCGGCUGGCGGGUCCGCCUCCACUGUCACAGUCCUGCACGUUGUUCCAAGAGCAGCGGAAAAUGAAUCGGCCUCCGGUACAUUGUUUUCAGUGCUCAAUCCAGGGAUGCCGUGAGGAUCAUCUGGAGGAACUGCCUUGUCCCCCUUCAAGUAAAUGUCCCGCUUUGUCUCUUACAAUCUAACGGGGUCGCGUUACACACCAGGUAGUGAUGUCUCUGGCAAAGAUUCCUUAUUUCCCAUCUGAAUUUUAUCGUGCAGCCUGUGGUCUUGGUUCUGCCCCUUCCCGGAACCUGAUCCAGUUGAGGUGACCUGUCAUCCAGCAUACAAACCAGUGGAGAUUUGCCAGUCCUCACUUCAGACCACUGUCGCCUUCCCAUCUGCAGAGUCUCCUAUGUUGGUUUCUGUGACAGAUCUCUCCUUGCUCUCUUCCUGACUGAUUCUUUCUUCCGUCCUCUUUGUGUGUUGUCUUUUUCCUCUUGGUUCAUGACUCUUAAAGCUGUCUGAUCUCACCCUCUGGUGCUUUUCACCUCCAGCUCUGUCAGUUCUCCCACCUGGACCAGACAGAUGCCUCUGUCCAGCCACUUGCCAGCAUCUCUAUGGAGUUUGUCCAAAGGGCAUCUCAAGUGACUAGACCCAGUAGAUCCAAAAAUGAUUAUUUACAGCUCCCCCGCCCCUUGCCUUCUCCUUUUGUCCCUGCCGGCUCAUCGUUGCAUCAUCCAGCCUGUCACCCUACCCAGAAAAAUGGGUUCAUUGUAGAGUCCUUCUCCAUCCUCUGUUAGCACGUUGUAGUGUUAGGCUUGUUAAUGUCGUAUUCUAAACGGUUUUUAUUCGUUCCUCUUUAUCCCAUACUUGUACCAUUAAAAUAGCUUAUUUUUUUAUUUCUGUAGUUACAGAACCUUUUUUUUCUGUGCUGCUACCUCUUUCCUCCACCAGCUCAAGUGUAUUUUCCACGCUGAGUAUUUCUCCUAAAAUAUGAAUCACAGCAGUUUGUCUCCACGUGGGAAGCACUUUAGAGGUUCCCUGGGUGACUGGACAAACGAGGUUGCCGUUUUGUGGAGCCGUUAACCCUCGAGCCCAGCACUGGGGGGAGGUCGUCACUCGCUGCUGAUGCGUUUGGAUGGGUCUGUGGGGUGAGAUCCUGCUCGGAGAGGCUUAGGAGAGAGGAGUGGGAGAACGGGGUUUGUUGUGUUCCUAGCUUUUUCAAGACGUUUUGCUGUGACGGGGAAAAGAGAAAUUGGACAGUAGCUGGAGUAGGAGCUGAGGUCUGGGGCGGGUGUAGUGUUGUGUUGUGCUGUGUCGUAACGGGAGAAACAACAGCGGGAAUGAUCCAGUAGACGCGUGUGGGAGCGGGGAGAGCUGCGGCCCAGGGUCCUGGCGUGGGGAGGGGGUGGCAGAGCUGGGGUGCAGGUGGAGAAGCCCUCCGAUGGCUUCUCUGUUCUCAGGGAAGCAGCUCCUCAGCUGAGGGUGAGGGUGAGGUUGGGGGCUGGAGGAGAGGGCAGCGCUCUGGGGCCCAGCUCCAUCCUGACCAUCAGCACACACCGUUCCGCCAGCCGGGAAGACUGUCUUUGCCUUCUCUGCCUGAAAAGCCAUCUCCUUUCUUAAAUGUGGGAGUAAUUACUCUUUGGGGAGCCUGUGUGAUUCCACGGGUACUUCUCAGCUCAAAGCGCAUUGAGUGCCAGUUCUGGCCACGGACAUUUUCUGCUCUGCUGAUGGAAGGCUCCCCAGAGGAAGUGUCCUGCUUGCCUGGCUCUUGGCUUUGGCGACCCUUCACACCAUCUAGUGUUGUAUCUCUUUUCUUAGACAUAAACAUCCAGUGUCUUCAGGUUCUGCAUGUGAUCUUAAGAAUCAAUUCUCUGCUUCCGGGAGCUUCUCUUCGCCUCAGGAAAGGCACUUCACAGACGUAAUUACAGGAGAGGACGGGAAUCCUGCCCGUCGAUACGUAGGGAACUCCAGAGUGCUGACAAAGCAGAGCCUGCUUUUCUCUCUUUCUUUCUUUCUUUUAAUUUUUAUUUAUUUACGUAUUAAUUUAUUCGUUUUUGGCUGCGUUGGGUCUCUGUUGCCGCGCGCGAGCUGUUUUCUCUAGUUGCGGCGAGCGGGGGCUACUCUUCGUGGCGGUGCGCGGGCUUCUCAUUGCGGUGGCUUCUCUUGUUGCGGAGCACGGCUUCUAGGCAUGCGGGCUUCAGUAGUUGUGGCUCGCGGGCUCUAGAGCGCGGGCUCAGUAGUUGUGACUCACGGGCUUACUUGCUCCGCAGCAUGUGGGAUCUUCCCGGACCAGGGUUCGAACCCGUGUGCCCACCAUUGGCAGGCGGAUUCUUAACCACUGCGCCACCAGGGAAGCCCGAGAGCCUGGUUUUAAAUGCAUUGUCAGAGCACGUGGCUCAGUGACUCGGGGAAGGGUGACGGCCCUCACGUGACCAGGACUUGGGAAGCUGCAGAGGUUGGCGAGGCUCUCAGAGCAGCGUGAGGUGGGCUGGAUGAGGCUCCUGAGGUGCUGGUAAGGACCUCCUUCCUUAGGAUGUGGGCCUCCUGUCAGGACCAGCGGGACGCGAAUGCAGGUGGACCCUGAGGUUGACUGAAGAGCCUCCCCUGUGUGCUGGUUUUGCUUUCAUCCUGUGGAGAAAGUGAAACCUUGUAAUUGGGACAGUGAGUCAUCUGAUCAAAAGAUGUCAUGUGUAGAGACUGUGGACGGCAUGAAACGCGGGGUGGGGUGCGGUGGGUCAAGUCAGGGGGACUCUGGGCUCCAGCGCGAUGCCCGACAGGAAGGGGCGAGGCCGCGGCGUGUUCCCGCUGGUCCUAGGCCCCGGUAAACGGUAUGGACGUUCCCUUGGGGUUUUUCCUUAAUCGCGAAUGAGGUUGAGAGCGUUUUCACGUGCUGAGAAGCUGUUUCUUCAUUUUAACUGAUAGACAGAUUUUAGAGCGGUUUUAGGGUUACAGGAGAGUCGAGCAGACAGCAGUUUCCUAUCCCCGUCCCUCUGGGUUCCCUCCCUUGAUAACGUCUCGCGCUUGUGUGGCGUGUCGUCUCAGUGGUGGAUCAGCACGGACACCUAGUUCUCCCCUGGAGUCUGUAGCUUAUACUAAGGCUCACUCUCUGUGUCCUGCUGUUCAGGUUUGGACACGUGUGAUGACCUGCAGCCACCACUGCAGUGCCACCCAGAACCAUUUCAGUGCCCGAAACAUCCCUGGGGGCCACCUGUUCAUCCCCCCCCAAUGCCCCCAAACCCCCGACAGCUGCUGGUCUUGUUACUGUCUGUGUAUUUUUGCCCUUUCCAGAAUGUCACGUAGUUGGAAUUCUUCAGUCUGUGGUCUUUUCAGACCGGUGUAUUUGUUUUUAUAUGAAGGGCCUGUUCAUGUCCACUGCCCGUCUUCCUGCCCCAAUACUGUCUUUUUUUGUUUUGUUUUGUUCUGUUUUGUUUUCCUUGUCUUAUUGACUUACAGAGUCUUCCUAAAUGUUUUUAAAUCUUUCCAGUUGGGGUCAUGUUAGUAAACAUUGUUUUCCAAGUUUUAUUGUCUUUUUCCUGUAUUUUCCAGCAUUAGUAUGUAAUUCAUUACUUUUCUUUACUUUGAGAAGUUGAAUACUGUGCAUUUGAAAAGUUUCUCAAAAUCAGCACGUUUGUGUGGGUAAGAUUCCUAGUUGAACAGCACCCUCCGUGGUCAGUACUGGAGUGCAGCUUCUUUGCGGGGGGAGGCGGGGGAGGUGGGAGGAAUGCAUCGGUUCUUCGUUCCCGUUUCUGGUUCUGGGCACUGCAUCAGCCACUCUCCUGGGACAGGCCAGGCAGGUGGGGUCCUCACUUGCUGUCUCUGGAGGCUGUGUGUGUCUGAGAACACCUUUCUUUUUCCCUGUCGAGCGAGAGGACUCUUUUGGUUGGGGAGCGGCGUCCUAGGACUGCGGCCCUUGGGCCCCCGAUGUUCUGUGUCAUUUGGGCCCCAGCCAUGCGUGGGAGAUCUCUGACACACGGACACCGCUGUUAAAGUCCUCUUGGGUUUUUGUCGUUUACAAUCCUCUGAGGAAUACUCCUUUUCUCUAAUGGAAUUCCAGUGCUUAAGCUUUCUAGCCACUCAUGAAAGGAAUCUCAGAAAGCAAAGGAGACCGGUCCUCUCUGCCCCCAAGCAGGGGAGUGAGCCGACACUGUUAGCCUCACGCUGAGAACAUGGCUUGUGGGAAAUGUGUAACCAGUGCUGCGUUCUGUGAUUACAAGGCCGUCUGUGGAAUCUUACUGUACCAAGUGGUCUUUUUUUUUUUUUUUAAAUUGUAUGUAUGUAUGUAUGUAUGUAUGUAUGUAUUUAUUUAUGGCUGUGUUGGGUCUUCGUUUCUGUGCGAGGGCUUUCUCUAGUCGCGGCAAGUGGGGGCCCCUCUUCAUUGCGGUGCGCGGGCCUCUCACCGUCGUGGCCUCUCUUGUUGCGGAGCACAGGCUCCAGACGCGCAGGCUCAGUAGUUGUGGCGCACGGGCCUAGUUGCUCCGCGGCAUGUGGGAUCUUCCCAGACCAGGGCUCGAUCCCGUGUCCCCUGCAUUGGCAGGCAGACUCUCAACCACUGCGCCACCAGGGAAGCCCCCAGGUGGUCUUUUAAGACACAUACGUCAUGGGUUGUUCCCUUGUGUUUUGAAACGAACCUAAAACCCCUAAAUAUUUGCAGUUCUGAUUGCUUUCUUAAUUUGUUAUCCAGGUUUUCUGAAAUCCGUUUUCUUAAAGUUUAAAAUGCAAGAAGAGUGCAAUUUUCUGAUCCUCCCUUUUCAUAAAAGUGAACGUGGGCAAGCCACUUAACCCAUCACCAAAUAGAAAAUCAUUUGGAACAUUCACAAUAAUGCUGUUUUCAAUCAACAACAGUGCAUGUAUUUUUAUGCCUGCUACUGGUGAAACUACAAUGUUUUCUUAUUGUGCUGUUUUUUUCUCAUCAGGCAAAAAGUACAAGCAAUUAAACCCCCCCGCCCUUACAAAUCACACAUUUUGUGAAAUUACAAAUGCAAAACCAGAAAGUAGAAUAAUGUGUGCGUGAUUCUACUUAUGCAUUAUAAUUAGACUAGUUCAUGGUCUGAUCCCUCCCUCUCUUGCAUUUGGUAAUA